GACGAACGCUGGCGGCGUGCUUAACACGUGCAAGUCGAACGAUGAAGUUCCUUCGGGAAUGGAUUAGUGGCGAACGGGUGAGGAACACGUGAGAAACCUGCCUUUCAUUUUGGGAUAACUCCGGGAAACCGGGGCUAAAACCGAAUACUCCGUCUCGGCGGCAUCGCGUAGCCGGGAAAAAAUUUUGAUGAAAGAUGGUCUCGCGGCCUAUCAGCUAGUUGGUGAGGUAAUGGCUCACCAAGGCAACGACGGGUAGCCGGCCUGAGAGGGCGGCCGGCCACACUGGGACUGAGACACGGCCCAGACUCCUACGGGAGGCAGCAGUGGGGAAUAUUGGGCAAUGGGCGCAAGCCUGACCCAGCGACGCCGCGUGAGGGAUGAAGGCCUUCGGGUUGUAAACCUCUCUCAGUAGGGAAGAAGCGAAAGUGACGGUACCUAAAGAAGAAGCACCGGCUAACUAUGUGCCAGCAGCCGCCGCCG
rnacentral:rRNA from 1 species